GUUGGGGGAAGGGGCCUCCCAUCUCCCUCUUCCUGACAGUGGCGGUGGCUGUCAGCAUGCCCUCCUACCCGCCCUGCUGGUCUCCGCAGGUCAACUGUACUGGGGACACCUCACCUGCCCAGCUGUCAGGGCUCUGCUGGGGGGACUUUGCCAGGCAGCCUCUUGAGGAUCUGGCUGUGUUGUCCUUGAAUGGCUCCCUCCUGGUCCACCCUUGCACGGUCAGCCUGGCAGCUCAGGUAUCUUCUGGGGACACCUUCGCCCGGGCCCACAUCCACACAGCCUGCGGCCACCACCAUACCCACCUGGACACCAGCCUCCAACAUGCAUGGCCUCCACUUCAGGCGCUCGGGGUCGCCCCCGACAACCAUAUUCAAGUGUCUGUGGGGGGACACGAACCCCCCAGGGCCAGGCUGGCGGUGGCCUUGGGCCAGUGCACCCUGACUGCUCAUGGGGAUGUCAUUACUGAGGCCAAUACCACACACGCCAACUGGACCCUGUCUGUGGUGAAUCGCUGUCCCCCGCUGGAGGCAACAGGCCUCCCGCAGGCUCUGCACUCCGAGGGCAACCUGAGCUGGAGCCCCUGCGAGUUCAGUCUGGCCACGGGCCUCCGCAGCGACGACGGAGAUGCCCACCUGCAGCUGGCCCGCACCUGUGGGCCCCAGACCUCGGUCGUCGGGCGCCUGGCCCACUCCCUGCCCCUGCUGGGCCGCCUGGGCCUGCCACCCAGUGGCACCAUCGGCCUGGCUGUCCAGCCACGGCCUGCCUCCCGCCGCUCCCUGGCCCUCCAGCUGGGGCCAUGCCGGCUGCAGGGGACACUGGAGCAGCGCGCUGGCAACCGGAGCGCAUGGAUGCUGGCCUCUGAGCCCGGCUGCCCGCUGCUGGAGGGUCUGGGCCUCCCAGCAGGAACACAGUUCAACGGCUCCCUGCAGGCUACAGGUGGGGAAGCUGAGGUGGCAGGGACCCUCGCAUCGGCCAGUGGGACAGCCUCCCUGACCUUGACAGCGGUCGUGCACCAGUCCGAGGCCACGCUUCGAGUGAAACUGAGUCACACGCUGUCUGCACUGCAGGCCGUCCCCCCAGAGGCCUUGCUGACCGUCCGGCUCCGGUGGGAGGCCGGGCACCGGCUGGGUCUGGAGCUGCAGGUGGGGGCCUGUGAGCUGCAGGGCAGUGGUGAGCUGCACCUGGACCAUGGGCUGCAGUGGCGGGUGCUGGCCAAGAGCUCCUGCGAGGCUCUGCAGGCGCUGGGGGUCCCAGGCCGAGUCAGCAGCUCCGGGGAGGUCGUGCUGAACUCCGUGGCUGUGGACGCCCAGGUGCUGGUCGCCGUGAACAACAGCACGCUGCGGGGGGUGCUCAUCCUCAAGACGACCGAGAGCCAGAGGCAGGUGGAUGUGUUGCUCACGCACAGCCUGCCCCGACCCGGCCCCUUGGGCCUCCCAGCCCGGGUCCUGCUGGAGCUGGCCACCGAGAGCCACGGGUGCAGCUAUCGACGCACCCUGCGGGCCGGAGUGGAUGGCAGACAGGUGUCUGAGGAGCUGACGUUCACUCGGCAGCCAGAGCACAUGUCCCUGGACUACACGCUCCUGCACAACAUCCCCACGCUGCGGACGCUGUGGGGGGAGGACAGUCUGAGCCUGCAGGCCUCUGUGGGUGCUCCCGGCAACGGCUCCGGCUUGGAGCAUUCCGCACGCAUCUCGGUGGGGCCCACGUCCCUGAACUACUCCAUCAGCUGCUGUCACCGUGCUGGGCACCUGGAGCUCUCUGGCUGGAGCUCGCACAACAGCGUGACCCUGUUGCGGGCUGGGGUCCCGGGCCAGGCCGGCCUCAGCGCCAAGCUGCAGACACACGAGACCCAGACCCAGGCCAGUGUGGCCCUCCACGGAGGGGAUGGUGGUGUGAGCGCGGACGUGGCUGCCCUGGCGGCCUGGCCCACGAACGGCACCCUGGAGCUGGUGGUGAACGCCAGCCACACGGCACCUGCCCUCCGGAGGCUGGGCCUGCCCUUUGCCAGCCAGCUCGUGUUCCAGAAGCUCUGGGCAGAGGGAUGGGUGCGCUCUUCCCUACGGCUGACCUGUGACUCUCAAGCCAGCCUGGUCCUCGAUGUGCAUGGCCAGAGCCGGGCACUCAGCAAAGAGCUGCAGCUCUGGGGCCAGCACCACCUCCCUGGCCUCCUGGGCCGCUGCCCCAGCAGAGCCUCAGCCGCCGCCAAGCUGCAGUACUCGGAGCAUGAGGCCCAGGGCACGAUUUCCUUGGCGGUGGAGGAGCAUCGUCUCCACGUGGGCAGCAGGCUGGCGACUGCGAAGGCCCGCGUCACCAGCAUCAUCAGGCUAGAACAGACCUUCCCCCAGUUCGGCGCCUUUCCCGGGAAACUGGUCCUGCAGACCUCAUAUGAGAGAGCCCACGGGGCCCACGCCCUGCACCAGACAGUUCUGUGGGACAACCAGGAGGUGGUCCUCAACGGGAGCCUCUCUGGGCCCUUCCCCAGGCUCGCGGGGAACCUCAGCCUGCGGGCGGAGCUCGCCCACCCGCCGUGGCACAGCGGCCUCCGCCUGUCCUGCGAGCAUUCGCGACGCAGACACCGGGACGACCUGGUCGUGCGCUGGGAUGACAAGGACCAGGUGGUGGUCUCCUCCUCUCUGCUCUUGGGGAAGGGCCAGCUGGCCGCCCGCCUGGCCCUGGCUCAGCCCUUCAACCUGUCCUGGUGGCGCAUGGAGGCUGGCGGCCUUGCUGAGCACAGGGGCGGCAAGCAGAGCCGGCAGGUCCAGCUGGCCUGGGAUGGAGGGCAGCCCGUGACCUUGCACCUGACCUGGACCGACAGGUCCUCGCAGCGCAGCAGCACCUGGGACGGCUGCCUGGCCGCCUCCCCGGGACAGCUCCAGGAAACAUGGGGCCUGAGUGCCCUCAAGGCCUGUGGGGCCUUAACACACACCCUGGCCGUGUUCAGCGAGCAGCUCGACCUGUCCUGGGACCGACGCAGGGUGCGGCACAACCUGACCUACGAGAGGCAUUGGCCGUCCCAGCCAGACAGGAUCCACACCGAGGCCGUGCUAGAGCACAUCCUCACCACCUCCUGCACCACACACAGCUUCCGGGGAGAAGUGGACACCGACUACACCCACUGGCUGCGCCAUUCCCUGCAGCUGGGGCUCUGCGACCUGCCCAGGGCUCUCUCAGUCUCUGGGGAGCACACCCUGGGACACAGGGGGCUCCUGCUGCAUUCCCACUGCCAGCUGGGCCUCGCCCCGGACCCAGACCACGGCCUGCAGCUCAGCCUGACGCUCCGCAACCACAGCAAGCCUCGGACACCAGACUUCUCCGGGGAGCUGGAGAUCCUCAGCCCCAAGGCUCAGCGGCUUGGCCUGCGGGGCCGGGUCUCUACCUCAGCUUCUCGGCUCCUGGUCCAGCUAGAGGGACAUGUGGACGACGGGAACGAGAAAGUGAGGCUGUCGGUGUCGCGGGCCCAGGGCUGCCUCCAGGCCUCUGUGGGCCACGAGGAAGGGAGCCGAGAGGAGAGUGUCGUGCUGCGGGCAUGUGCCCACAGGCGGACGGCUGAGGUGGAGGCCCUGCUGCAGGACGGUGGGCGGCCCGGGCCGUCCCUGGGACGCCUGACCCUGCAGGCUGCCAACCAGAGCCUCCGCCUGGCGGCGCAAGGCUGCCAGGAACCCCUGCUGGGCCGCGUGGAGUCCAGAAUCACAGCCAUUGGGGCCCAGGUGCGAGCCCAGCUGGAGAAGAAGGUCCGAGGCUUGGAUGCCUACGUGGAGAGAUUCCGGUGCCUGGUGCGGCCGGCAGGCACCCUGGACGAUGUGGUGGUCCCCGUCCUGCAGCUAUCCCACGCGGGACUGGACGCUGUGCUGGCGAGUGGCCAGGCGGUGGCCUCGCUGUGGGGCCAGAGCCAGGCCAGGCAGGUGCUGACACACCACUUGCCGCUCUACCUGGAGAGGCUGCAGGCCGGGCUGGAGCAGCUGCGGAAUGAGCUGGAACGGCCCCUGGCCACGCUGAAGGAUGCCUACCUGGAGGUGACACUGCGGCCCCUGGACGAGCUGUGGCAGGAGCAGGCACAGGAGGCCGUGCAGCUGUUGCGGGCCGUGCGGCCCAGGCCCAUCGGGGCAGCCCUGGAGCUGGCCGCCCGCCAGAUGCUGUCCUGGGCCGAAGCCACUUUGUCACGGGCCCUGAGGAGGCUCUGCAAGCCGUUGCUGGCUCUGUACAGCUUCUCAGCCAGAAACUGCUCGGUGAUGGUGACACUGCCGCUGCUGCCUGCGGGGGACGAGUCCCUGGCCGUGGCCCGGGUGACCGGCCACCUGGUGGAGGAGAAGCUGCUGCGGCCCCUCCGCGAGCUGUACGGGACCCGCGUGCUGGCCGAGUACUACCGGCUGCAGCAUCUCCUGCUGGAGAGCCCCCAUGACUACCAUGCUGUGGUGGCCGGGGACAGGCAUGUGGUAACCUUCGAUGGCCAGGUGUGGAGUGUUGGUGGCCACUGUGGCAGUCUGCUGCUGGCCAAGGACUUCGCCCAUAACACGUUCUCACUGACGCUGAACCGGGCCCCUUCAGGACUCACAUCCCUGUCCGUGGAGCUGAACCACACGACCCUGGUCCUCUACCCAAGCCUAAAGACCUACAAGCUGUAUGACUCCUCCCUGCCUACGGAGAGCUGUCCGCACCUGGAUCUGCCACCUGCUAAGACAAGGGGGGACAUUCCCAGGAUCGAACUGACCAGUGAGGACGGCAUCUCAGUCACCUGUGAUGUGCGAACUGGCCUCUGCAGCCUGACUCUGGGCCUCUGGCUCCAUGGUGUGUCUGCUGGCCUUCUAGGUACCAAUGACAAUGAGGCGGCCAAUGAGUGGAUGCUGCCAGAUGGCAAAGUGGCCCAGAGCCUGGAGGAGCUCACCCUCGCCUGGCAGGUGGGUGGUGACUGCAGGGCCAUGGAGAAACCUCAGGAGUGCCCAGCCCGGAGCCUCACCUGCUGGGCCUUCUUCCAGGACCCUCAUUCCUGCCUGGGGAACUGCUUCAGAGUGGUGGACCCCACACCCUUCCUUGGCCUGUGCAACCAGGACACCUGUGGCACCCAGGAGCUCCACUCUGCCUGUAACCUGGCAGCCACUUACAUCCACUUGUGUGCCAGGGGCUUCGUGCCCCUGGACCCUCCUCCACAGUGUGUUUGAGUCUCCCUAAGCCAGCACCAGACUGCCAAUGAUUUCAGACUCCUUCCUCCUCUCCCAUCAAUCCCAGCUCCUCAGCAAGACCUGGAUUCUUAUUCUUGGCUGGGACAGAACCGCCAGCAUGAAACGGCAGGAGGCUCAGAGAUCACAAUUGCUACAGCAAAUGAGGGCUUAGACUCAAAGAUUUCAAAAUACUUCUAGGGAUAAUAAAGUUCACAACUGGUCUGGAUGAUUCUCUCCC
ensembl:lncRNA